GGCCCGCCCCCGCCCCAGGCGACUGUCAAGUACAGGCCUCGCGCUUGGCUCGAGCGCGGUUGUUUUCCAGCUCCCGUGCGCGCGUUCGCGCGCGGGGCGGCGGCCGCCCCUGGGACUCGGUGUGAGGGGAGCGCUGCUGUCCCUGUGGCGGUCCGGUGAAAGUGGGGUCCGGCCCGUUCCUUCAGCCCUAAGCAGGCGUCUGGUUCAGUUCUCUGUGUGACAGGGAGAGGCGGCAGUGCAGUGCGCUGUGUCUCAUCGUUCACUGAGUUGUGUCUGUGAUUGCAUUAUGUGAAAGCAUGACAGUGACAGGGGUACCAACACUGCCACGCGAACAGAUGCGAUCCUCAGACAUUGCAGGCGUCUGUGGUCUCUCUGAGGGAGCCUACGUUCCUGGUGUGCUGCAGCUCUCGGACAUCCCUGCACUAUGGGGACUGGCUCUGCAACACAGCAAUGCUGGGGGGAGUUUUCCUUCACCUCAUGUGGUUAGACAACAUUGUCUCUUCAGGCACAGUACUUCUGUAAGGGAGAAUGUCAGUGCUGCUGGACAGGAGAAUUGGCUGCAGAGUGGCUUUCCAGGAAUUUGAGCAUAUGCUGUUGCAAAAGGUUGUAUUCCGUUCUUCUGCUCCCCUGCCUCAACCCCCUUCCCAAAUCGGGAUCAGGCAAUGGCACAACCAUAGUAGCCACAAAAUUGAGGGUGUGAUUUGGCCGUCUGAGGAUCUCUCGCCUGGCUUUUUGAAGCUUUCAGCUGGCUCUGAGGGCCAUAUCCUGUUCCAGCUGUAUCUGCACAAGUGCUGAGACUGCUGCAGGAGAACACUGGUGGGGAAAUUUGUCUGUGAAUUUUCAAAAAGACUGAAGAUGAUCAGUGCUGGGAAACCUGAGCUGUUGGCUGUCUCAUUUAAGAAAAUUGUUCCGAGUUCAUCAUUGUUCUCCAUGAAGUGUAGCAGAGUCCUUUGCUAGUAUGUGACCAGUGGCACUGAGACAAAGGAUGAUCUUCAGAACGUGUUAACUGCGGGGGAGCCGGGGGGGCAAAUUUCACAGAGGUCACAGAGAAGGGUCUGUCCCAGCUCAGUGGAGGAUGUCUCCUCGUCUCCAGUAAUACAAAGUGGUUUCUGAUUUGUGAGAGAAGAUGGGAACUGGGAGGCAAAGGAUUUGACAGUGCUUCUGCCAAGCACUGUUGGAAUGAUGCUGCAACACUCCAGUCAGGACUGACUGCUGAGAGAAUGACAGAGAAAUGAGGUUACCAUGAAACUGAGAGAACAGUGAUCUACAUUUUGCGACAGGCUCCCUUGUCCGGUGGUACCUCAGGGGAGGGACUGUGAAAGUGCAAGAAUCAUCAUCCAAUCUUGAAGAACAUCCCCUAAGGUCCUGUGGCUGUCAGGUCCCAUUCAUUCUGCAGAAGGAGAGAUCCAUGCGGUCACAGACUACUAUGGCAAUUUAUCCUGCUGCCUCCAGACAAAGCUCCCAUUGAGAGAAGAUGAGCGACUUGGUUGUCUGUGUAAAGGCUGGACAUUAGACACCAUUUACCCCAUCCUUAAGAAGGCUCUUAAAAUUAACCAACAACAUCAACUAACAGCAGUAUUCCUUAGGUGAAGUUAGCCAGGAGCUACGCUCCUGUCUCGCCUGGGUUCUGCACUGACUGGAGAAGCAUUGAAACUGGAACAUCACCAAAGGCAGUGAAACAAAAACUGAGCAAUUGAGACAGCCUUUCUCAGCUGGGCGUGAGGUGCUGCAGGAACGGAGCGGAGCCUGUGAGGCAGAUGACCUGACAGUUUGAGUCCAGCAUGGAGGUAAGUCCGCGUUCCAUAGGGACACCUGAGCAUAUGCUGUAAUGUACUAUGACCUGCAAAUGUUGCUAUCCGCAGUUAAAAAUGCAAGGCGGAAAUUUGUUUAGCCUUUUUGUGUAUGCUCUGGCUUGUUGCUUCGGAGGAGGAGUGUGCUUUUGUAGCAUCUCGUAUGUGGCUGUGUCUUACUGCUGCUUGGGCUGUUGAUGUUUUUUAUUCCUGCACGCCUCUGAAAAGGGGCCUUGCACGCUACAGAUCAUAUGUGAGAGUCGUUUUCCUAAAAGGGGGAAUAAACAGUCAUGAGAUGAAA